CGUGAGCUGGGUUUAGAACGUCGCGAGACAGUUCGGUCCCUAUCUGGUGUGGGCGCAGCAGGAUUGACGGAAUCUGACCUUAGUACGAGAGGACCGGGUUGGAUCGACCUCUAGUGUACGAGUUAUCGUGCCAACGGUAGCGCUCGGUAGCUAAGUCGAGCACGGAUAAACGCUGAAUGCAUCUAAGCGUGAAGCCGGACCGGAGAUAAGUCCUGACAGUGAGACACGUUGUAGACGACGACGUUGAUAGGCUGGGAAUGUAGGCGCAGUAAUGCGUGGAGUUGACCAGUACUAAUCAGUCCCGAGGCUUGACCGUA
rnacentral:rRNA from 1 species